rnacentral:rRNA from 1 species
GCUAAACGCGAAGAACCUUACCUGGCCUUGACAUGUCCGGAAUUCUGCAGAGAUGCGGAAGUGCCUUCGGGAAUCGGAACACAGGUGCUGCAUGGCUGUCGUCAGCUCGUGUCGUGAGAUGUUGGGUUAAGUCCCGCAACGAGCGCAACCCUUGUCCUUAGUUGCCAGCGAGUAAUGUCGGGAACUCUAAGGAGACUGCCGGUGACAAACCGGAGGAAGGUGGGGAUGACGUCAAGUCCUCAUGGCCCUUACGGCCGAGGGCUACACACGUACUACAAUGGUCGGUACAGAGGGUUGCCAAACCGCAAGGUGGAGCCAACUACCCGAGAAACGCCGAAUCCCAGUCCGGAUCGGAGUCUGCAACUCGACUCCGUGAAGUCGGAAUCGCUAGUAAUCGCGGAUCAGCUAUGCCGCGGUGAAUACGUUCCCGGGUCUUGUACACACCG